GUUGUGAUCACACCAGCAGUAAUGCAACAGAUCCCAUGAUGGCUUUGAAGUGUGUAAAUGUGCUUAGGCGAGUGUAGCACUUGGAUGAGUAAUCUUCCAGGAAGUACUUGUAUUGCACACA
rnacentral:rRNA from 1 species